AUUUGAAGCUAUUAAUAGUCUGGCCUGCUCACUGAUAAUAUAUUAAAGAGCCGCGGUAAUUUGACCGUGCAAAGGUAGCAUAAUCAUUAGUUCUUUAAUUGAGAACUGGUAUGAAAGGUCGGACAAGGGAAAAUCUGUCUCCAUUAUUAAAAUUAAAAUUGACUUUUAAGUGAAAAGGCUUAAAUACUUCAGGGGGACGAUAAGACCCUAUAAAACUUGAUAUGCAAAUCAAUAUAGUUAAAUUAAAAUAUAAAACCUUAUCAGAUAAAACAUAUUUAGUUGGGGCGACUUAGGUAAAAUUAAUAGUAACUGAUUAACAAUGAAACAGUUGAUAACUGACUUUUAUAAUUGAUCCUUUUUAAAGAUUAAAAGAUUAAGUUACUUUAGGGAUAACAGCGUAAUUCUUCCUAAGAGUCCAUAUCGAAGGAAGAGAUUGCGACCUCGAUGUUGAAUUAAAAUAUCUUUAUAGUGCAGCCGCUAUAAUAAAGAAAGUCUGUUCGACUUUUAAAAUUUUACGUGAUCUGAGUUCA
rnacentral:rRNA from 1 species